GCGCACAGCUGUGCCGUGACGGGCGUGGACGCGUGCAUGCUGGGGCUGGAGUUGAUCUCGAUCAGCCAGGGCUGGAAGUCGCGGCCCAGGAUGAAGUCGGCCCCGUACAGCUCGAAGCUGUUCUUGCGUGGCUCCACGUGGUCCUGCACCCCCCUCAUGGUGUUGGCGACGGCCCGCUUCAUGGCCGGGUAGAUGACGCUGGCCCACACGGCCCCGCGGCCCCUCUUCUGCAGGUUUUGAAACAGAUACCCUGGCCUAGAUGAACCAUCUGGAUCUGGAUGGUGAAGCCUGUCCUGUGACCCCGGAUAGGUCGUACUUCCAUGGGACAGACAGAAGAAACAAGAUAUAGGCACACGGAAGGGUCUAGCAACCCGAAAACAGUGGAGUUUGGGUGGUGGACCGACCCACAGUGCCAACACUGAUUUUUGCCGCCAUGUCCCAGGCUGGGUGAUGCCCUGGCAGAAUGACUUCGGGGAAUCUCCUUCUGCCUGGGGCGAGGGCUAUGGUCCCAGAUGGAGAAAUGGGGCUCAGAGAGGGCAAGAGUUCUGCCAGGCAUUCCCUCAGGGCUUGGUGGGGCCAGGUGGCCUCGGGCGGGAGGGCUGGAAGGGCCUCCGUGGGCCUCUCGCUGCCCAGGAGGCUCUUGUGCACAGUGAGCUCAACUCGCCUGUGCAGGAGCCCCUGGCCCGGCAGAGACGAAUUUGCUCCGUGAGCGGCCAGCCGGAACCUCCACUCCCACAGCCCCUAGCCUGGGGCCCCCGUUUAGUAGCUGAACAGCGGUCAGUCCUCCCAAUUCUCAACGGCUCCCCUGUAAAGCCCCCGGUCAGGACGCCUAGGCACCCAGCCCCACACGCCUGACGGGGUCACAAAGCAGAACAGGGAACCCUUGGUUUGGACAGAGUCCAUGGAAAUUCUCCGCCUUGAGGAUAGCGUGUUCCUGAGGCUUUGCCAAGAGGCCCUUGCCAUCCCUGACACACACACAUCCUGCCCACUUGGAGAUCCCGGCGAGUGUGGGGUCACCGACCCCUGGCACCCCAUUCCUGGAUGUCGGAGCCUCUGCCCAGCACCUCCAUGAGACACCCUCCCCAGCACCCUGCCCCCCCGGGGGCCUUGACAUCUGGGGUGCUGCUCACACUGUUCUGGCCUUUUCUGGCUCAGGUGCUCCCACUCGCCUGGCACGGCCGGGGGCCUCAGAGGACCCCUCAGGCAUUGUCACAUCCCACAGGCUGCCCCGUCAGGGGCUGCACCCCUACCUCCCCCGCAGCUCCAGCAAGCCCCCCUACCCAUCUGCAGGACCCCCCAACCCCCAACCCAGGGCUUCUGGGACUCACAAAGAGGAGGCACGGCAGGGACUACUGAAGGGGCUUGAGGGGUUGGCACAAGCACAUGUGCCCUGGGAACCUCCAAAAGUGCCCUGGCCUGCGUGUCGGGCGGAUCCAGAGAGAGACGGCCAGCGAGGCGGGCGGGUAUGCACACCCAGAUGGCCAGCUGGGGGUGUGCGUGGGAACACGGCCGGCCACCCAGCCCUCCUAGCAGAGGGUGCAGCUGCUGCCACGAGGGUGGCUCUGGACCCGCUGUGGAGAUGCCAUGCCCAGGCUGGCUGGCACCUCGUGGGCACAUGGCAAUGGUGCUUUUAGGAUUUUCUGGAGAAGACACCCACAUCACGGGGGUGCAGAGCACUGGCUCUGAAGGACAGUCGGCCUGGGCCUGCCCCUUGGGGAUGGAGAUCACUUAACCUACCCGAGCCUCGGUUUCCUCAGUGGUGCCUCAGGCGGUGACGGGUGCCGGCAAACGUGGCCUGGCACCCGGCCCACCGCGCACCCCUUGCGCCCAACGCGCCCCCUUGGGCUGACGCUCCGACUGACCUGUCCAGGUUGUCCAGGGAGAAGCGCUGUGUUGAAAACCGCAGAUGAGCAACGGCGUCUCGAUGUACUUCUGCACCACCCACUUGUUGUCCUUGGCGGACGGGUGGUCUGCGGUCACCAGCUGCAAGAUGUCUUCCACUCGGUUCAUGCACACUAUGUCUGCAAGAGGUCCGCGCUCAGCCCGGGGGCACGGCACACGUGGUCGCGGUUCAGCCCCGAGACCCAAGACGGCUUUGAUCCAGGACCAGGAGACAGCACAGCUGGGCAGCCAGGCAGGCUCUGUCCUCACGCGGAGGCCACAACCAGAGCAUCCCUCGCGCUCUCCCAGCAGGGGGCCAGCCCAACAGAGGACACAAGUCUCAACGGAGGACACAAGAGUGGGGAGGGGCAGAGAUGGGGACAG